rnacentral:sRNA from 1 species
CCCAUUUCCUCUUCAGGCCUUGGGCGGCCACAUUGUGCGACAGCACCCGAGCUGGCGGAAAAGUUGCUGCCACGUCGACAUCUCUCGGCAAAGGCAGAAGAAAAGUCACCGCUCAAUCGACGGGCGGCAGUUCAAUGAAGCGAGGAAAGACCAGUGUGAAAUUUGAGAGUUGAAAUGAUCCAGCUUUCUGAAAGCAAGGAAUGGUUUAUAUGUUGAUGAAACAUGGUGUUGGAGUACAGGUUAGCGAGGACGUUUGAGUAGGUGGAUGUGUGAUGGCUGAAGGAAGGACGACGAGGUCAGGGAUUCGCAGGGACGUUUGUAAUUUGUACAUCUGUUUCUUGGUUUCUUUCUCUCUUCUCUUCCAUGCAACAAACUAUUAUUACAAC